rnacentral:rRNA from 1 species
UGAGGAAUAUUGCGCAAUGGGGGCAACCCUGACGCAGCAACGCCGCGUGAGUGAGGAAGGUUUUCGGAUUGUAAAGCUCUGUCGAGCGGAAAGAAAUGCCUUAUGGCUAAUAUCCAUGAGGCUUGACGGUACCGCUAAAGGAAGCACCGGCUAACUCCGUGCCAGCAGCCGCGGUAAUACGGGGGGUGCAAGCGUUGUUCGGAAUCAUUGGGCGUAAAGCGCGUGUAGGCGGCUUGACAAGUCAGAUGUGAAAUCCCUGGGCUUAACCCAGGAAGUGCAUUUGAAACUGUCUAGCUAGAGUAAGGGAGAGGAAAGUGGAAUUCCUGGUGUAGAGGUGAAAUUCGUAGAUAUCAGGAGGAACACCGGUGGCGAAGGCGACUUUCUGGCCCUAUACUGACGCUGAGACGCGAAAGCGUGGGUAGCAAACAGG